rnacentral:rRNA from 1 species
GCCAAACAGCUAGCUUAAAUAUACUUUAAAAUUAACACUAUAAAUAAAUUUAAACAAACUAAACACUAAAAACUAAACCAUUUUAUUACCUGAGUAUGGGAGACAGAAAAGGUUUCACUCAAAGCAAUAGAAACAGUACCGCGAGGGAAAGCUGAAAGAGAAAUGAAACAACCUAUAUAAGCACCAAAAAGCAAAGACUAAAACUUGUACCUUUCGCAUCAUGAUUUAGCCAGUAUAUUCAAGCAAAGAGAACUUUAGUUUGAAACCCCGAAACCAAGUGAGCUACCCCGAGACAGCCUAUUAAGGGCAAACCCGUCUCUGUGGCAAAAGAGUGGGAAGAGCUCCGGGUAGAAGUGAAAAACCUACCGAACCUGGUGAUAGCUGGUUGCCUAAGAAAUGAAUAGAAGUUCAGCCUCAUUAACCUCAAAUCAAAUAUUAAUACAAUAACAACAAUAAGACCACGAGAGAAAUAUAUGAGAGUUAGUUUAAGGGGGUACAGCCCCUUAAACAAAGGACACAACCUUAUCAGGAGGAUAAAGAUCAUAAUAUAUAAAACAUACUGUUCUAGUGGGCCUAAAAGCAGCCACCUAAGCAGAAAGCGUUAAAGCUCAGACAGAAAAAAGUUUAUCAUACCGAUAAUAAGUUCUUACUCCCCCAACACUAUUAGGCCAGCCCAUAUUUAUAUGGAAGAGACUAUGCUAAAAUGAGUAACAAGAAGGCCCGCCCUUCUCCCAGCACAAGUGUAAGCCAAACCGGACAAACCAUUGGCAAAUAACGAACUCAACCAAAGAGAGCAAUGUGAAUAACAAAAAAAUCAGGAAAACUACACAAUUAAAAAUCGUUACCCCCACACCGGAGUGCUAGUUUAAAGGAAAGACUAAAAAAAUUGGAAGGAACUCGGCAAACAUAAGCCUCGCCUGUUUACCAAAAACAUCGCCUCCUGCAACAAAUUAAGUAUAAGAGGUCCAGCCUGCCCAGUGACAAUAUGGUUCAACGGCCGCGGUAUUUUGACCGUGCAAAGGUAGCGCAAUCACUUGUCUUUUAAAUAAAGACCUGUAUGAAAGGCUAAACGAGGGCUUAACUGUCUCCCAUUUUCAGUCAGUGAAAUUGAUCUAUCCGUGCAGAAGCGGGUAUAAAUAUACAAGACGAGAAGACCCUAUGGAGCUUAAGGCACAACACUCAACCACACCAAGCAACUCAAUUAAAAUUUUAAACCUUGUGAUAAAUGAGGCCAUGCCUUCGGUUGGGGCGACCAUGGAGGAAAAAAAAGCCUCCAAGUGGAAUGGGGCCAACCCCCCUAAAACCAAGAAAAACAUUUCUAAGCCACAGAACAUCUGACCAUAAUUGAUCCGGUUAUAUAACCGAUCAACGAACCAAGUUACCCAAGGGAUAACAGCGCAAUCCUCUCCAAGAGUCCAUAUCGACGAGGGGGUUUACGACCUCGAUGUUGGAUCAGGACAUCCUAAUGGUGCAGCCGCUAUUAAGGGUUCGUUUGUUCAACGAUUAAAGUCCUACGUGAUCUGAGUUCAGACCGGAGAAAUCCAGGUCAGUUUCUAUCUGUAACGCCACUUUUUCUAGUACGAAAGGACCGGAAAAGAGGGGCCCAUGCUAAAAGCACGCCCUACCCCAAUUUAUGAAAACAAAUAAAUAUAAGCAAAAGGAGGGCCAAAACCACCGCUGCCUAAAAUAAGGACAU